UGUGAUUAACUCGGGAGUACAAUUUUUGUUAGUGGGGGACUGCGUUCGCGCCGUCCCCUG
rnacentral:snRNA from 9 species